GCAGUUAGUUACUCCAGUCUCGAUACAAUUUGUUUUGUGCAUGAUAUGUGAAAGGACCUUUUGUAAGACACAGAAAUGGGGAGUUGGAUAUCUUAUUAAUUUCUUAUAUUGGCUAUAAGUUGCAUCUUAUAGCAGGUUCUUGAUUUAUUAUUCAAUAAUAAUAAAAUCAAUUACAAAACUGUCCCAUAAUUAAUAAUGUGUCAGUCAGAUUGGCUUCUAGGGUAUACAUCUAACAUUUCUAAUUAAAAAAAAUAAAGACUGUUCAUGAUGUAUUAGCACUAUGCUCUAUGCCACUGGCAUUGCUAAAUGCAUGUACCCAGUAUUGAUUAAUACUUUUAAGAAUAUUUGUGUUACAACAACCAAAAAUUUUCAUGAAUAUAUUUUGCAGCCUUUGUUACAUCACAUAGAAUGUCACAUAUGGACUGCAUAAGUAUAAAAUAAAACUGUCUUUAAUGUUCUGUAUACUAGUAUACGUUGUCCAAAAGAUUGUGAAAGCAGUAUUACAAAUGUGUAAAACUUGUGCAUUUAUAAUGAACUAGUGAAGGUCACUCCUUUACCUAUGCUCUAGCUGGUAUUUUCUUUUGUUGUGGCUCAAUCAUGAACCACCUUCUCUUUAAAAGCUCUAGAAGCUUGUUAUGUGAUCUUAAAUGCAAGAUGAGAAAACUGCUUUAGAGUUGUCUUAUACAGAAUCUUUCUUUGACAUUUGGCAUGAUGACCUUUGCAGUCAUUUAGGUCCUUCAUCCAACUGACAUUACUGUUAGAUAAGCCAUGUCACCAAUUGUCUUUGUUGAAGACUUAAGAAAUCACCUCCAUGCAUCAUCCUUUUCAAUCUCGACAUUGGCAUUUGCUACAAAUAAGUACAAAGUCACCAUCAAAAGUUGAUGUUGAUAAUAAUGUACUUUGGUAUUUUUUUUUCAAGAUGUAUAAUUUUCCAACCAUAAAAGUGGCAUUCACCAUCGAGUGAAGAUCCAUGCAAUCCUAAAGUAAAAUAGCAAAUGCAGUAUCAACAACAAGGUUUGGCAUACCAACCCGUACCAACCGUAUUGCACUAUAUCGAUAAGGUACGGUACUGAGGUUCGGUUCGAUAUAUGAAUCAAACCUGUCCAUUCUAGUCCGAAUGAAGCAGAACCAUCCCAUACCAUCUGAUACCGCCCAAAACUAGGAUGCGAACUAUUUGUACCAUAUGACUUGUACUGCCUAGUUUUGAGUGAUACCAUGAUAGUGAGAAUGGGUUGGAAGCUAUCUCGAUACAAGGUACUUACUGUACUGACCAUACUGUAUUAAACCAUUAACAUACUGGUACCUUAUGAUUACGAGACUGCGACCUUGAUUGACAAUAUAUGUAACAAUGCUAUGUAAAAUACUUUUAGUAGGCUCUAUGUGAAAUGGACUUUUAGAAAUGUUUUCUCGUUGUUUUUGCAACUUUUUCCAGCGCUUCUUCCUUUUGGAUUUCUGUAUACUUUUCUUGUGAACUCUUGAAGAUGCACAACGUAUGGGACAAAUUUCAGUAUCAAGGAUUUAUUUCAGCCUUAUCCAAGCAAACCUUGUUCACCUGGAAAGUGAUUUACAAAUUAUAAACCAUAUGCAAACAAAGCAAGCAAACUUGUAGGCUGUAGUUAAGCUAAUUCAUCAUAAUGCUGAUUUCCAAUGUGUUAAUUUUUCUGUAAGUGAUAUGCUCUUCGUUAUAACCAAGGUUGGCUGUAUCGGUACUAGGACCCAUACACUAAAGUCAGCCAAGGGUGCCAACUUUAGCUUGAAAAGGAAAAAUAAAAAAAAUGGAACCCUGUUUUGUUUCGACAUAGGAAGUUCGUCCCGAUGAGGGGCUCCGUCUCCCUCCCUCCCUCCCUCCCUCCCUCCCUCUCUUUUCCUCUCUCUCCUGCCUCUCUCCCACUGUUGCUGGAUUUCUCAAACCGAUAGGCGGAACCAUGCCAGUCCGCUACUAGUAGUUCGGUAUGCCCCAAAUUGGGCGGUUCGAGAUGGUACCACCUUUCUUGGUUAUAACAAAAUCUUUGUUCAUGGACCCAAGUUUCUAGUGUUGUCCUAUAUUAUUAAAUUUAAAUGUGAAUAUAUAGUUCAUGCUUAGGCUAUGUGGUGCUCCUAAAAGUAUGCUCAGGCAUACCCACAAUCAUCAUGUGUCAUGGUGCUCUUUGCCUACUAAAUCUGUAUGCACUUAAAUGCUACAAAUAAUUAUGCUAAUCUCUUGACAUGGUACUGAAUUUUCUUGACAGGACUUGACGACCUUUGUCUGUGUUUGCAUUCCAGAGUUCCUUUCUCUUUAUGAAACUGAGAGAUUGGUACAAGAAUUGACAAAGUUUGAGAUUGAUGCUCACAAUAUCAUCAUUAAUCAAGUAAUUUAUGAUGAGGAAGGUGUGUAACAAGUCUAAAUCAAAAAUGCUGUUUAUUAAUCCAAUGAAAUAUGCUCCUUUUCAUGUCUUUCUUUUUUAAAGAUAUCUUAAUCCCGGUUUACAUUUAUUUUGUAGCUGUUGAAUCCAAGUUAUUGAAAGCACGGAUGCGGAUGCAACAGAAAUAUAUUGAUCAGUUCAACAUGCUGUAUGAUGAUUUUCAUAUCACCAAAUUGCCAUUGCUUCCUGAAGAGGUAGCAGUCCUUGCUAUUUGAAAGAACCUCUUGACAACAUAUUAUCUGAAAUUUGAUGAAUGCCUACGUGGUUCUCUAAUAGAUUGUGGACUUUUGUAGGUUUGUGGAGUUCAAGCUUUGAGAAAGUUCUCUCAGCACUUUCUAUCGCCAUACAAGCCCCCUCUGAUCAGGGGCACCGUAGAGGAGCUUAGGCAGAGGAUAUCCACAUUGAAGGUUCAGUUAGAAGAAGCCAAGUUAGAGCUUGAUAGACUGCAGAAAGGCAAGGGAAAGGCCUAAUUGUUCUCCAUCGUUGCAUUUCACUGUUGUAAUCAUAUUCCUACCCCAUCAUGAGGCUUGAUCAAGGCCACUGGCUUCAUCCUUUUCUUCAUAGAGGGCGUUGCAUGAGUCAAUUGAGAGACAUCUUACUAUUUCCUUCCCUUUCGGAUUUUCCUGAUUGCUGGCCGGGAUAUCAAUUUAAUAGUUGUUUAGCUGAUUUUAGUCGCUGGGUAAUAACCUUAAGUNNNNNNNNNNNNNNNNNNNNNNNNNNNNNNNNNNNNNNNNNNNAUAUGUGAAAGGACCUUUUGUAAGACACAGAAAUGGGGAGUUGGAUAUCUUAUUAAUUUCUUAUAUUGGCUAUAAGUUGCAUCUUAUAGCAGGUUCUUGAAAAUACUGUCUAGUUCUCGUUGCUACAUCUCAGUGAUCUUUUAAAAUGCGAGGGCUAGUAAUAUUAAUAUGCUAACAAGCGUCUUUGUUU
rnacentral:lncRNA from 1 species